rnacentral:rRNA from 1 species
UACGUAGGGUGCGAGCGUUGUCCGGAUUUACUGGGCGUAAAGGGCGCGUAGGCGGCAAUUUCAAGUCAGCUGUGAAAUCUCCGGGCUUAACUCGGAACGGUCAGCUGAUACUGCUUUGCUAGAGUACAGAAGGGGCAAUCGGAAUUCUUGGUGUAGCGGUGAAAUGCGUAGAUAUCAAGAGGAACACCUGAGGUGAAGACGGGUUGCUGGGCUGAUACUGACGCUGAGGCGCGAAAGCUAGGGUAGCAAACGGG